rnacentral:rRNA from 1 species
AAAGUCGAAAAGAGAGAUUCAACGUCAGCAUGUAUAGUAUUGACGUGAGUAGUGAUGUCAGUUUUAUCGGUUGGGUCAAACCAAACGAUUAUAGCUGGCACAUUUUCAUGUUAUUUUUAUUGCUAUACAAUUGUCGGCGUGCACUUCUCUCUUAGUAGGACGUCCCGACCCGUUGAGUCUUAGCCUACGGCCCAAAUGGAUGCCUUUAAUAUUUUUAUAUUAAAAUCCUUUGGUGUCUCCUGGCCUAAGUGCUCGACGGUAAAAAACGACUUGGUAUUAAGCCGCAAUUUAUUGUGCGUCCGGCCUGCCGCAAGUUUAUUGACAAUUUCUGUACACAUAGACUAUGUCCUAAGUGUAUGGUAUUGUUGGCUGUUUGCAUGACAGUGCUCUGACUGGCUUAGUAUAUACCUGUCAGGACGCUUAGGC